UGGGAAGACAUCUGUUGGCUGUCCUCGCACCACAAACAGGCGAGAGUUGAGUUUCCUUAAACUGUUGUCCAGAUCUUCCAGAGACUGGAGCAGAAAUCGCCAGCGGUUGAUGCCCACGGCCGACGAGGCGGCGAACCACGGGUCCAGGAUGUAGAUGCAGCGGAGAGAGGCGGCGCCCCGCAGAGCCGCCUGCAGCGCCGGGUUGUCGUGGAGGCGCAGUCCGCGGCGGAACCAGUGCACGGAGCGGCAAAAGCCGCGCGGCGGGGACGCGGCCGCCGCCAUCACGGGCAACCGCCGCGGCCUCCUCGCCUCGCCCGCCC
rnacentral:lncRNA from 1 species